rnacentral:rRNA from 1 species
GAUGAACGCUAGCUACAGGCUUAACACAUGCAAGUCGAGGGGAAACGACAUCGGAAGCUUGCUUUUGAUGGGCGUCGACCGGCGCACGGGUGAGUAACGCGUAUCCAACCUGCCCACCACUUGGGAAUAACCUUGCGAAAGUAAGACUAAUACCCAAUGACGUCUCUAGAAGACAUCUGAAAGAGAUUAAAGAUUUAUCGGUGAUGGAUGGGGAUGCGUCUGAUUAGCUUGUUGGCGGGGUAACGGCCCACCAAGGCGACGAUCAGUAGGGGUUCUGAGAGGAAGGUCCCCCCACAUUGGAACUGAGACACGGUCCAAACUCCUACGGGAGGCAGCAGUGAGGAAUAUUGGUCAAUGGGCGCGAGCCUGAACCAGCCAAGUGGCGUGCAGGAUGACGGCCCGUACUGGGUUGG